UGGGGAAUAUUGCACAAUGGGGGAAACCCUGAUGCAGCGACGCCGCGUGAACGAAGAAGGUAUUCGUAUCGUAAAGUUCUGUCCUAUGGGAAGAUAAUGACAGUACCAUAGAAGAAAGCUCCGGCUAAAUACGUGCCAGCAGCCGCGGUAAUACGUAUGGAGCGAGCGUUGUCCGGAAUUAUUGGGCGUAAAGGGUACGCAGGCGGUUUAAUAAGUCGAAUGUUAAAGAUCGGGGCUCAACCCCGGAAAGCAUUGGAAACUGAUAAACUUGAGUAGUGGAGAGGAAAGUGGAAUUCCUAGUGUAGUGGUGAAAUACGUAGAUAUUAGGAGGAAAACCAGUAGCGAAGGCGACUUUCUGAACACAAACUGACGCUGAGGUACGAAAGAGUGGGGAGCAAACAGG
rnacentral:rRNA from 1 species